rnacentral:rRNA from 1 species
UACGUAGGUGGCAAGCGUUGUCCGGAUUUACUGGGCGUAAAGCGCGCGCAGGCGGCACUGUAAGUAAGGUGUGAAAUAUCCCUGCUCAACGGGGAGGGUGCACUUUAGACUGCAGAGCUAGAGGACGGUAGAGGGGGGUGGAAUUGCUGGUGUAGCGGUGAAAUGCGUAGAGAUCAGCAGGAACACCCGUGGCGAAGGCGGCCCCCUGGGCCGAACCUGACGCUGAGGCGCGAAGGCUAGGGGAGCGAACGGG